AGAACGAACGCUGGCGGCAGGCCUAACACAUGCAAGUCGAACGCCCCGCAAGGGGAGUGGCAGACGGGUGAGUAACGCGUGGGAACAUACCUUUCGGUUCGGAAUAGCUCAGGGAAACUUGGAUUAAUACCGGAUACGUCCGCAAGGAGAAAGAUUUAUCGCCGAAAGAUUGGCCCGCGUCCGAUUAGCUAGUUGGUGGGGUAAAAGCUCACCAAGGCGACGAUCGGUAGCUGGUCUGAGAGGAUGAUCAGCCACACUGGGACUGAGACACGGCCCAGACUCCUACGGGAGGCAGCAGUGGGGGAUAUUGGACAAUGGGCGCAAGCCUGAUCCAGCCAUGCCGCGUGAGUGAUGAAGGCCCUAGGGUUGUAAAGCUCGUUUCGUCAGGGACGAUAAUGACGGUACCUGAAGAAGAACGCCCGGCUAACUUCGCGCCAGCAGCCGC
rnacentral:rRNA from 1 species